GAUGAGCGCUGGCGGCGUGCCUAAUACAUGCAAGUCGAGCGAACGGACGAGAAGCUUGCUUCUCUGAUGUUAGCGGCGGACGGGUGAGUAACACGUGGAUAACCUACCUAUAAGACUGGGAUAACUUCGGGAAACCGGAUCUAAUACCGGAUAAUAUUUUGAACCGCAUGGUUCAAAAGUGAAAGACGGUCUUGCUGUCACUUAUAGAUGGAUCCGCGCUGCAUUAGCUAGUUGGUAAGGUAACGGCUUACCAAGGCAACGAUGCAUAGCCGACCUGAGAGGGUGACCAGCCACACUGGAACUGAGACACGGUCCAGACUCCUACGGGAGGCAGCAGUAGGGAAUCUUCCGCAAUGGGCGAAAGCCUGACGGAGCAACGCCGCGUGAGUGAUGAAGGUCUUCGGAUCGUAAAACUCUGUUAUUAGGGAAGAACAUAUGUGUAAGUAACUGUGCACAUCUUGACGGUACCUAAUCAGAAAGCCACGGCUAACUACGUG
rnacentral:rRNA from 1 species